rnacentral:rRNA from 1 species
UACGUAGGGGGCAAGCGUUGUCCGGAAUCAUUGGGCGUAAAGCGCGUGUAGGCGGCCUUGUAAGUCCGUUCUGAAAGCCCGGGGCUCAACCCCGGGAGGCGGAUGGAUACUGCAAGGCUCGAGUACGGAAGAGGCGAGUGGAAUUCCCGGUGUAGCGGUGAAAUGCCGCAGAUAUCGGGAGGAACACCAAUGGCGAAGGCGGCCUGCUGGGCCACGACCGACACUGAGGUGCGAAAGCGUGGGGAGCGAACAGG